rnacentral:rRNA from 1 species
CCUACGGGAGGCAGCAGUGAGGAAUAUUGGUCAAUGGACGAGAGUCUGAACCAGCCAAGUAGCGUGAAGGAUGACUGCCCUAUGGGUUGUAAACUUCUUUUAUAAAGGAAUAAAACGAGGCACGUAUGCCGUUUUGCAUGUACUUUAUGAAUAAGGAUCGGCUAACUCCGUGCCAGCAGCCGCGGUAAUACGGAGGAUCCGAGCGUUAUCCGGAUUUAUUGGGUUUAAAGGGAGCGUAGAUGGGUUGUUAAGUCAGUUGUGAAAGUUUGCGGCUCAACCGUAAAAUUGCAAUUGAUACUGGCAGUCUUGAGUACAGUUGAGGUAGGCGGAAUUCGUGGUGUAGCGGUGAAAUGCUUAGAGAUCACGAAGAACCCCGAUUGCGAAGGCAGCUUACUAAACUGUGACUGACAUUGAUGCUCGAAAGUGUGGGUAUCAAACAGGAUUAGAUACCCUAGUAGUC